rnacentral:lncRNA from 1 species
GCGUUUCCAUGCUUUAAGCUGAAAGCGUGAGGAGUUACAGCUUGAGUCUAAGGACAAAGAUGCACUUAUUGAGUUACUAGAAGAUCGAGUGAUGAAGAGACUGAGAGAGUCGGAGGUUUUAUCUUCCUCUAGUGUGCCUCAUCCUUCCAUUUCCUUGAAGAAGAUUGUUGAUAAGCUUGUCCUCGAGAAGACUCAAAUGAAGGCUUCUUUUGAGACAAAG